rnacentral:rRNA from 1 species
GAUGAACGCUGGCGGCGUGCCUAAUACAUGCAAGUCGAGCGAACAGACGAGGAGCUUGCUCCUCUGACGUUAGCGGCGGACGGGUGAGUAACACGUGGAUAACCUACCUAUAAGACUGGGAUAACUUCGGGAAACCGGAGCUAAUACCGGAUAAUAUAUUGAACCGCAUGGUUCAAUAGUGAAAGACGGUUUUGCUGUCACUUAUAGCUGGAUACGCGCCGCAUUAGCUAGUUGGUAAGGUAACGGCUUACCAAGGCAACGAUGCGUAGCCGACCGGAGAGGGGGAUCGGCCACACUGGAACUGAGACACGGUCCAGACUCCUACGGGAGGCAGCAGUAGGGAAUCUUCCGCAAUGGGCGAAAGCCUGACGGAGCAACGCCGCGUGAGUGAUGAAGGUCUUCGGAUCGUAAAACUCUGUUAUUAGGGAAGAACAAAUGUGUAAGUAACUAUGCACGUCUUGACGGUACCUAAUCAGAAAGCCACGGCUAACUACGUG